rnacentral:tRNA from 1 species
CGGCUCAUGGCUGGGUCCUUAUGCAGCGUUGAAUUCAGCCUUCAAAGGUAUGCCUGUUGCCUGGCGCAGUCCAGUCGGGUCGA